CAGUCGAACGAAGCACAGAGAGCAGAUUACUUCGGUUUGAAGCUUUCUGUGACUGAGUGGCGGACGGGUGAGUAAUGCGUGGAUAACCUGCCUCACACAGGGGGAUAACAGUUAGAAAUGACUGCUAAUACCGCAUAAGCGCACAGUCUCGCAUGGGACAGUGUGAAAAACUGAGGUGGUGUGAGAUGGAUCCGCGUCUGAUUAGGCAGUUGGCGGGGUAACGGCCCACCAAGCCAACGAUCAGUAGCCGGCCUGAGAGGGUGAACGGCCACAUUGGGACUGAGACACGGCCCAAACUCCUACGGGAGGCAGCAGUGGGGAAUAUUGCACAAUGGGGGAAACCCUGAUGCAGCGACGCCGCGUGAAGGAAGAAGUAUUUCGGUAUGUAAACUUCUAUCAGCAGGGAAGAAAGUGACGGUACCUGACUAAGAAGCCCCGGCUAACUACGUGCCAGCAGCCGCGGUAAUACGUAGGGGGCAAGCGUUAUCCGGAUUUACUGGGUGUAAAGGGAGCGUAGGCGGCGAUGCAAGUCAGAAGUGAAAGCCCGGGGCUCAACUCCGGGACUGCUUUUGAAACUGUAUGGCUAGAUUGCAGGAGAGGCAAGUGGAAUUCCUAGUGUAGCGGUGAAAUGCGUAGAUAUUAGGAGGAACACCAGUGGCGAAGGCGGCUUGCUGGACUGUAAAUGACGCUGAGGCUCGAAAGCGUGGGGAGCAAACA
rnacentral:rRNA from 1 species